rnacentral:rRNA from 1 species
UACGUAGGGUGCGAGCGUUAUCCGGAAUUAUUGGGCGUAAAGGGCUCGUAGGCGGUUUGUCGCGUCGGGAGUGAAAACCCAGGGCUUAACCCUGGGCUGGCUUCCGAUACGGGCAGACUAGAGGUAUGCAGGGGAGAACGGAAUUCCUGGUGUAGCGGUGAAAUGCGCAGAUAUCAGGAGGAACACCGGUGGCGAAGGCGGUUCUCUGGGCAUUACCUGACGCUGAGGAGCGAAAGUGUGGGGAGCGAACAGG